UUCUUUCCAAUUUGACAAAUCUCACAUACUCCAUUCAGAAUAUUCACAACAGGCAAUCCAGAAACAUAUUCUUUUCUUGACAAGUAAUUCAAGCCAGAAAAAUGAAAGUGACCAAAUCUCAUGUGCCACAACCAAUCAUCAUUUGGAAUAAUAGAACUUAAGCAAGGAAAUUUUUCAUGUUGAAUUUUCAAAGGAAAUAAGCGGUUCGAUGUCAUUCUUACUUUUGUGAUAAAUCUUCCAUUUCUGUCCAUCAACGUGCAAAAACCAUUGUGAAUCUGCAUGUUGUAA
rnacentral:lncRNA from 1 species